GGAAGUAAAGUCGUAACAAGGUUUCCGUAGGUGAACCUGCGGAAGGAUCAUUAAUGAGUUGUCAUGGGGUUCGAUGCUGGCAGCCAAUUUUUGGAUGCAUGUGCUUGCCCUAACAAUCAUCUUCCAAACACCUGUGCACAUUUUUGAGGGAGUCUUGAGUUGGUUGCCGCUCUUGGGUGAUUAUCUCACAUUCCCUUAAAUCAUUAUACGCUAUUAACAAUGUUGAACGUGCUCUGUGCCGCAAGGCUAUUAAUAUAAUACAACUUUUAACAACGGAUCUCUUGGCUCUC
rnacentral:misc_RNA from 1 species